rnacentral:rRNA from 1 species
GACGAACGCUGGCGGCGUGCUUAACACAUGCAAGUCGAACGGAAAGGCCUCUUUCGGGGGGUACUCGAGUGGCGAACGGGUGAGUAACACGUGAGUAACCUGCCCUUGACUUUGGGAUAACUUCAGGAAACUGGGGCUAAUACCGGAUAGGAGCUCCUGCUGCAUGGUGGGGGUUGGAAAGUUUCGGCGGUUGGGGAUGGACUCGCGGCUUAUCAGCUUGUUGGUGGGGUAGUGGCUUACCAAGGCUUUGACGGGUAGCCGGCCUGAGAGGGUGACCGGCCACAUAGGGACUGAGAUACGGCCCAGACUCCUACGGGAGGCAGCAGUGGGGAAUAUUGCACAAUGGGUGGAAGCCUGAUGCAGCAACGCCGUGUGCGGGAGGACGGCCUUCGGGUUGUAAACCGCUUUCGCUCAUGACGAAGCUUUGUGUGACGGUAGUGGGUAAAGAAGCACCGGCUAACUACGUG